UGACAUCAGUUUCAAUAAUUCACCAUGAAGAAAUCAAAAUUUUAAAAGAAUACCCUGACAUUUAUGUGACAAGUAUAUAAUGAUAUAGUUACAUUCAACCACAAAGAUGGAUUCCCUCAAAGAUUUGCAUCAGCCACAACAAAAUCCUAGAAGCAUAUGGUAGUGCCUCUCCUUGCCAGAUGAUGAAUCAGAAAUUCUACGUGGUUUUGUACUUCAUCUUUUAGUCAAGCAACCCCCCAUACGCUUAUCCAUAUAUUUGGAUUAAAUUUCAAAUGGGAUAUCCAAA